AUUGAAUUACAGCAUGCUGAGCAACAGAGGCUGAACUGGGCUGCAGGAGGUCAGGUGCCUUCAAGUCACCAUUGAACUAAUACAUCUGCAACACACAGUCCUUGUCCUCUCUGUCUUAAGAAAGGAGAACCUAGGAAAGCUUCCCUCCCCCCCAUCAGCAAUCCAAGGUA